UCGUGGUGUGCACAGACCAGUAGGCAUCAAUUGAUCCAGCUCAGUGAUGCUCUUGGAGAGAGAGAUGGCACUGCAGAGAUCCCAUUCGUCAGCUUUAGCAGUUGGGAAGGGAUGGGAGAACAGCUCAUCACAGAGCUCUGCGUCCUGCACCAUGCCCAGUGCAUGCUCUCACUUCACAGUGGCACAAGUUGCCCAGGGAAAUUGUGGCUGCCCCAUCCUUGGAAGUGCUCAAGACCUGAGACCAAUUCAGCUGUCUGAAAGGAAAACUAAGAUCUUUGCACUUUUCAGCAACGAUAUUGCAGAGACGAGGAGGCCAGUUCCACUGGUUCCAGUGAGGACAUCUGAGUUGCCUGGAUCUGGGUGAGAGAACACAGUGUGCCCUUAUGGCCCAGCGUGAGGUCUUGUAGGGUAACAAAGAAAAUGGUCAAACAUACAGCAGAAGUUUAUGUCAUGCCAAAAAUGAACCCAGAGAGAGCAUAAAAACAGUAUUUAUUUUUUUCUCAUGCCUAUUUCUGUUCACAAUAUUACUGUAAAAGCCUCUUAAUUACCGGAGGGGAGCUCGUGCCUUUUGGUGGAACAGCACACAGCUGUAUUUGUGCGUUUGCAGGGAGGUUUUGCUUUUGUCCUUUUGCUUCUGUACACAGUGAUCACUGUGUGGGUUGUGUGGGGCAGGGCUGUCAUUGAACCCCUUGAGUCAAAAGGGAUCAGUUAAAGGUCAGAUAGUCCAACUCCCAGUGUCUAGGAGAAGAUAACCACAAAAAAUCAGUGGUGUCCAGCUAGGCAGAGUAUGUACCUCAUUGUGUCAGAUCAGGAUGGGAGCCUGCUCCAGCCAGGAGGCAAGGGUAGCUCAGAUAUGAAUUGCAAAGAGAAUGGAACUUUGAUUUUCCUGUCAACCGGCGCGCUCUGCACUCCUGGCUCCCUGCUGAUAAGCUUGUCUUAAUGGUGGUGGGAUACAAAACUAUAUUGACCGCAUCUCCAGGCUGCCUGUCUCAAAGGGAAAGCUGUGCCUUCCCCAAGUUUUAUGACUUGAAGCUGUCAAGGAAAAGGGGGGCGAGGGGGGAAAGUUGUGAUGGAUUCAUUCUUCAGCCUUAUCCAGGGCUACACUGCACCUUCUGCAAAUAUCAGCUCCUUGAAAGGCUGUGGAGACAGAGGAGAGGAGAGAGCCUCAGAUAAAUCACAGUAUUUGCAUGGCUUUGUGCAGAUGACAACAGCACGUGGACAGUCCUUUUUUUUCUCCCCUUACUUGAAAGUGCAACCAGACAAUCUCCUCCCCUUCCUUCUGGCCUGUUCCCACUCUCACUCGUUCAUUAUUACCAUUAAAAAUUAUUGAUAAGGAAACUUAAUCGUGGGUCAAAGUUCUCAACAUUUAGAUGAUUCCUUCUGUGCAUUUCCUCCUCCCUUCUGCCCUUGUAUCGCUAUCUGCCUUUCCCAAAGCUGAGCUCAGAGUCCAGCACAGCUCCGGGUUCCUUCCCUCCCCAUACCCAGUGAUGAUGUGGCUCAUUUGGGCAGAACAUGGGAUUAGGGCUGCCCAAACAUGGGGCUGGACAGCACGAGGCAGCUAGGAGCUUUCACAAGUCACGAAUCAGAGCAGCUUAGUGCUUGGAAAAUAGCUUGCAUGAGCUUGAGUUCAUCCUGCCUGUGGUUUUGUGUCUUAAAAACGUUCCAGCAGUCACAGGACUGCAGGACAAAACAAUAAAAGGAAGAAAAGCUGGGAUGGCAGGAGGCUGGCAGUGCUGCAGUGAGCUGGGGCAGCAGUACCACGAGUGGUGGUGAUGAAGAAGGCUGACCUUCCAAGCACUGCCCAGGGGAGGAGAGCACCUUGCAAAGCCCAGAUAGGAAUGGAACCCCGGAGCUGACAUCUCGCUGCUGCUGAAGCCUGCGAAGCUGCACUGCUUUGGAGAGCUCUCAGCUGGUUUGUACUCUUGGGCUGGACGUAAGCCCAUAAGCUGUAACUUUUCCA